GAUAAAAUGGCUGAAGAAAAAGGCGGUAAAUUGUAAAUUUAUUUAUGAAAUUAGUUUCUUUUAUCA
rnacentral:tRNA from 1 species